rnacentral:lncRNA from 1 species
GUGGUUUUGAUAUGAUGGGAGACGGAGAUAUCAAUGAGAGCUUCGAUCUGGAUUCUGCCGACAUAGAGAAAAAGUUCAGCCAGACAGAGAGUGAGGGAGAGAAGAAAAAGUUCAGAAGAAAGAAGAGAAGCAACUAGAAUCCAAAACCGCAAGCGCCAAACACCAAUCGGCAAGAUUUUCAGAUCAAAAACAAAGAAUCCAAAACAAACCCAGACCAAUGCGUGCGUAAUUGAGCUCAUUUGGUCAAAUCGGAAUAUCUGAUUGAGCAUCCAUUUGAUCGAAUCGGAGGAUCCGAUUGAGCAAUCAUAUAUCUUUGAUAUAUUGAGGUUCAACCGUUCAGUUCACUCUUCACAAUAUAAUACUAGACUGUGUUAAAGAGAGGCAGAGAGAGGGAGAUAGAGUUGCAUGCAGCAUGCCUAUAGAUAAGAGAAGAAAGAGGGAGAUACUUCUUAUUUUGAAAUCGAGCAGAGGAAGCUAAUUAUAUUCUGAAAUAGUGGGAAUUGCAGAAAGGUCAGAGAAGAAACUGAAGGUGAAACUAGACGAUAGAAGUUCCAAGGACCAUUGUCUAGAUGAAUCAGAGGGAAGGAUUCAGUAGACGGCUAUUCAUUUGGGGCUUGAAAAUCAAGGAGAUGAGAAGAAUGACAUGAUGAAUUUCACUAGAUUGAUCGUGGAUAUGAUGAAAAAAGAGAAACCAUUUGCUUCUCAAGGAGGUCCUAUGAUUAUUGCUC